rnacentral:rRNA from 1 species
GACGAACGCUGGCGGCGUGCUUAACACAUGCAAGUCGAACGCUGAAGCUCAGCUUUUGUUGGGUGGAUGAGUGGCGAACGGGUGAGUAACACGUGAGUAACCUGCCCCCUUCUUUGGGAUAACGCCCGGAAACGGGUGCUAAUACUGGAUAUUCACUGGUCUUCGCAUGGGGGUUGGUGGAAAGGGUUUUUCUGGUGGGGGAUGGGCUCGCGGCCUAUCAGCUUGUUGGUGGGGUGAUGGCCUACCAAGGCUUUGACGGGUAGCAGGCCUGAGGGGGUGACCGGCACAAUGGGACUGGGAUACCGCCCAAGCUGCUACCGGGGGGCAGAGUGGGAAAUAAUGCACAAUGGGCGCAAGCCUGAUGCAGCGACGCCGCGUGAGGGAUGGAGGCCUUCGGGUUGUGAACCUCUUUCGCUCAUGGUCAAGCCGCAACAAUGGUUGUGGUGAGGGUAGUGGGUAAAGAAGCGCCGGCUAACUACGUG